CUCUUAUCAAGAGUGGCGGAGGGACUGGCCCUGCGAUGCCCGGCAACCAUCAAAUGAAACAUUCAUUUGAACGGUGCUAAUUCCUGUGGAACAUCAGUAUUGUUCUAACAGAUGAGAG
rnacentral:ncRNA from 3 species